rnacentral:lncRNA from 1 species
CGCCAUUUGUGUGGCUACCAUCCUCUUGACUAAGAUGACAAACCAACCAUUUCAACAGAACUCUCUUGGAAAGUUACUGAAGAAGCAUUCAGAGACACUGGAAGGCUGGAAGAGAAUUUCCAUCCUUAGUGCUUGCCUCCUUUGGGUUAGCUCCAGGAAAAAACACAAUGCUGUGGGCUCUGGGGUCCUCACGAAGAGAGGCUGUGCCGGGACCAUGCGCCCAAGGUCCGAGGAUGUCCUCUGCGACCUGCGGCGGGCGUGUGGGUUCAGGCCCAAACGAGUCCCAGGAGUUUCUCAGCGCCUGGAAGUAGACGUGGUCUCUCUAGCCCCUGGCGUCAGUCUUUACCCUUCCUCUUCCUGGAGACCCGGGAGGCCGCGACGUGGAAAGAGAGGCGGGAAAGCCCGCACGGAGCUGCCCAAGUAGAGGGCGGUGGGGCUCAGGGGACUCUAAAGGCGAGAACUGAGGGUCGGAAGCCUGGGGACAAUCCUUUCCCCUCCACGUGCAGCGGGGACACCUCCUCCCCGGGGAACCCAUCCAGCUGCUCCCAACCUGGAGAACAAAGGGUCUGGGAAGCACGGCCGGGGUCGGAGAGCGGAGGUGGAGGGACGCAGGAAGGCAGGCGGUGGGGGCAGGGAAGGGCGCCUGCUUGCACUUCCUCUCUGGCCCGAAUGACGGAAAGCUCCAUGGUGCUAGCGCCUCGUUGAGGCUGUUUUUCAAUCCUGGAGGGCUCGGGUUCCUUACCUAGCGGCCGCACCCGCGCCCUUCCUUCCCUAGGGUCCCCACCCCCUCCGGGGACUAAGGCCUGGAAGCUGCAGAGCCUGCUGUGCCCUGGCGCGGGAGGAACCGCGAGGCACCAGCGCCCCCUGCAGGUGCCAGGGAUCUCCGCAGCCGGGCGCUCCGGGACUCUUAAGGUGGAACUGCCUGAUAAUCUAUCACGCUAGUGAAUGUGGGUGGAGGUUGGUAGUUCUCGCCUCACCCUCGUGCGCAAGGGUCCCCCAAGCGAAACGGGCCUGACGGACCAGAAUCCCGGAGUCUGUCCCUCACUGAUGUUAUUUUCUGGACCCUUGGCCUCACCAUCUGCAGAACCUCUUCUUUGGAUGUCCCACUAUGGAUCGACAAGUCACACUGAUAUUUCCCAGCAGUGUAAGAGGAUGCCUAAAUCUUGCUUCAAGGCCUUUCUAUAACUGGAAAGCAAACUUUUACUUUUCUUUAUUAUACGUAAGUGACUGUGAGCAUGGGAUGAGAUUGGCCAAUCUCGGAAUCUUCUCACUCCCAGCAAAUUCGUGGACAGGUGCACGUACUAUAGGACUGGACCACGCGUCCAGCCUGUGUGGGAUCUACGUCUCGCAUCUUCAGCGACCUCUGCUCGGUGUUAUCCUAUACUUCUUUUUUCUUCUUUCUUUCUUGAACCGACUGAUAAACAUGAAAACUCUUGAAAGUGUCCUCCACGAACUUCAGCUUCUUGGAGGAAACCCUAUGAAUGAGCAAGUAGAGUUCCGCGAGGUCUCAGUCUAUUCCCUCUCGGUUGGCGCCUGGGAGCAUGGGGCUGCAGACUGUCCCUGGACUAUGGCACACCCAUGACCCGGGAGCGGCGGAGGAGAGCCGGGACUGGAACGCACAGGGCUUGAAGGCCGGCUGCUGGCAUUGAGUGUGCGGAUAAUUCACACCGUGGGAACUCCCCUCCCCCUGGGCACUGGGCCUGGGAACCGCCCCGCGGGUGGAUGGCCGAUGGUCCCUGGGGUAGGUGUUAGCGCCUGAGAAGCGGAGUCCACACGCUAGGCAGCUGCGGGCAAAGCUCGCUUGGGCAGGUGCCUCCGGGUCAGACCCGCCAUGGGGGUUGCAAACCGCAAGCGAAAGUCGAGAAGGGCAGGAGCUUGCCCACUAAUCCGUUUUACACUGUGAAAACCGCAGGCUUGUCGCCUAAGAGGCCACUUUUUAAUUUGGAAGCACAUGGAGGGGGGAAAACCAAGUUAACAUGCGAGCACACUUCCUUUUCUUUUUUCCUUGUCGUGCCCCUCCUCCCCCCACUUUUCAACGAAAAAGCUGUCCUACUGGUAAAGAGGGAAAUUGAUCUGCGCUUUGGAUUGCAGGGGGAGACUUGGGCAAGCAGGGAGCCCGGCGGGGAUUCAGGCACAUGCUGUAUCCCUGCCUGCCAACUUCUUCCCUGGCUUCUCACCCGCGUGCCUCCUCUCUACUACGAAUCACCGGAGGCCACGUGCUUCAGGCAAGCCCCAUCCACUGUUUUUUCGCUGUGAAUGAACGCCAGCGUGCAUCAUUUGAGUGUCGGCAUUCCUUGAGAGAGCGCCUGCUCGGUCGGUGGAUCUACCGAAAGGAUAGGGGAUUGGGUUGCCCCGACCGAGCUUCUACACACAAGCGAACCAGAAGAAACACUCAAAGCUUUCCAUGGGGAAACCUACCGAAGCCUCUAACAAAACUCAGUUUACUGCGUGCGGACCUGAGGUGCUCAGGCUCCUGGAAGAACAGCCAGAGGAAGGAAGAGAGCAGGAAGGGGUCGGAUGGGGAACGCUGAGGGUCAAGUGGGCAAGUUCCAGAAUAGUGGUUCCCUUAUUCCUAUGUUCCUCGCGUAAGGGUCCUAUUUAAGAACUCUCUCCCACCACCCAAAUAUGUGCUAGUGGCGAUAGAAAGGGAAGGCAGACAAAAGAAAGCCUUUAUUUAAAAAGUAAAACUAAGAUAACUUACUCGUUGAAAUAGUGUUGGGGGUGGGGGUAGGAGGCAGGACGGAUGGAGGCAGCUUUUUUACUUCUUUUUGGUUUUUGAAACAUAGAACACUUUAAAACUCCAAGGUGUUGGAGGAGCAGAAAGUCUUGUAAAAUGUUUGUACAAUUGAGAGGUACUGCUCAUUAAUUCAUUUUGAAAGGUUGCUGGAUUGAAUGAAGUCUUUCUCAGUCUCUGUGAGAAGCUCAACUAAUUUUGAUGUAGAGCAAAAUUGGGGUCAAAACUUCAUCAACAGACAAUGUGUAUAGAACUUUAUAGCCCUGGGGUCUAUUUCUGGGACAAGAAAUAAAAAAAAAAAUUAAAUGAGAUAACUUCAGCGUUUGUGACCCCACCUUCUCUCCCACGUGUUUGCUUUCUCACACGUGAGCGAGCCGGCACAGACCAGUACUGAUUUGUCUUCUAGGCCUGUGUUUGUUUUCACUCAAGUUGGAGACCUACCUUGUUUUUGCUUGUAUGCACUUUAUUAAAGAUCACCUGUUAACAAAUAAAA